rnacentral:tRNA from 1 species
CGCGGGAAGGAUGUUGGCUUCCGGAAAGGACUCAUAACUCUUUCAACGCGGGUUCGAUCCCCGCUCCCGCUA